UCAACGGAGAGUUUGAUCCUGGCUCAGGACGAACGCUGGCGGCGUGCUUAACACAUGCAAGUCGAACGGUAAGGCCCCUUCGGGGGUACACGAGUGGCGAACGGGUGAGUAACACGUGAGUAACCUGCCCUUGACUCUGGGAUAACAGCUGGAAACAGCUGCUAAUACCGGAUAUCAACCUCGUUGGCAUCUUCGAGGUUUGAAAGCUCCGGCGGUCAUGGAUGGACUCGCGGCCUAUCAGCUUGUUGGUGAGGUAAUGGCUCACCAAGGCGACGACGGGUAGCCGGCCUGAGAGGGCGACCGGCCACAUUGGGACUGAGAUACGGCCCAAACUCCUACGGGAGGCAGCAGUGGGGAAUAUUGCACAAUGGGCGCAAGCCUGAUGCAGCAACGCCGCGUGCGGGAAGACGGCCUUCGGGUUGUAAACCGCUUUCAUCCAUGACGAAGCUAACGUGACGGUAAUGGAAGAAGAAGCACCGGCUAACUACGUGCCAGCAGCCGCGGUGAUACGUAGGGUGCGAGCGUUGUCCGGAAUUAUUGGGCGUAAAGAGCUUGUAGGCGGUUUGUCACGUCGGGAGUGAAAACUCGGGGCUUAACUCCGAGCCUGCUUUCGAUACGGGCUGACUUGAGGAAGGUAGGGGAGAAUGGAAUUCCUGGUGAAGCGGUGGAAUGCGUAGAUAUCAGGAGGAACACCAGUGGCGAAGGCGGUUCUCUGGACCUUUCCUGACGCUGAGAAGCGAAAGCGUGGGGAGCAAACAGGCUUAGAUACCCUGGUAGUCCACGCCGUAAACGGUGGGUACUAGGUGUGGGGAACAUUCCACGUUCUCCGUGCCGCAGCUAACGCAUUAAGUACCCCGCCUGGGGAGUACGGCCGCAAGGCUAAAACUCAAAGGAAUUGACGGGGCCCCGCACAAGCGGCGGAGCAUGCGGAUUA
rnacentral:rRNA from 1 species